UGUUAACCCCUCCCCCCUGUGGAGCAUCAACAUCCAAGUGAUAUGUCACCUGUGGGUGAAUCAGCCACAGACAACUGCUUCCUUUUUGCCCUCUGAGAUAGGAGAUAUGUAUCUUGUGUCUCUCCACACUUAAAUGCUGUAUGUAAGGCUACAAAGUCUGGCCAGUCUUGCAGGACUGGUGCUCCUACCAUCCUGCACAUAGGUCAAAGCCAAACCGUGGGAAGUUGUGAAGAAUGCUUGGUUGUCAGACGAAUGAGAACGUGGACACUCAGCACAGCCAUCGCUGACCUUCUGAUGCCUCGCUGCCUGGUGCAUUCAGCAAUUCUGCUUGUCAAAAUAAGGAAAUGACUGUAGUGAACCCCUCGGAAAGGGUACAAGACGCCUGUUGCUUUGGGGAAGGACAUCGAUUGACAAAGAGAAAGAAAAACAACAGAAAAGCAACACAGCAAGGAUGGUGAAGAAGCAAAGGGUAGAAACACAACAGGCCUGCAGCAAGGCAGAUUCUGAGUAGAACAGGUCAGAGGGGAUUUUUUUUCUUCCUUGCACAAAGUUUUGACUUUCCAUAGAAGGCAGAAAAUCUCAAAAGAGGAAUUUUGUUUUUAACAGCUGACAACAAAAAUCACUUGAAAAAAGUAGUCUGAGAAAAGGAAGAAAAUAGCUGAGGAACAGCUGUUUCUCUGGGAAACAAAACCACCAUCAAGGAAAACAUACAUGUCUUAAAAACUAGUGGAGGAGUCUGCUGGAGCCUGCCUUCUCCUGGUGGGCAGGAGAGAGAGGAGCUCUUCUGAGCCCCUGGCUGAGCAGCUUCCAAGCACCAGCUCAUUGCUCAGCCACUGCUGGCUGCCCGAGCCCCAGCUUCUGCUAGCUUGCAGGGGCAUCGCUGAACACAGCCGAGGCUUUACAGGGGAUUGUACAAGCAGACUCAUUAAGCAAGAGAAGCUUUAGGCAGGAGAACAAGAGAAGAGAAGUUUCAGAGCAGGGAAAACUUCUGUGCUGUGAAGCUGCCCCAGGGUGGGAGAGGGAAGACGAGAGGAUCAAGUUCGGGAGAAAGCUGUGAAGGGCAGAGGCAGGUCCUGGGCCACCCCAGAGAGCCUCCUGCCAAGCCAAGAGAUGCUCCAGAGUGCUUAGAUAAAAAAUAAAAUAAUAAUAAAAGCAACA
rnacentral:lncRNA from 1 species